GACCCGGUGGUGAAUUGUAUCACGUCCGCCUACAAUGCAUGAAGCCCUUCUGAAGUGUCAGUGGCAGUUACCCGUUCAACUCGGGUCUGGGUCA